UACGAAGGGGGCUAGCGUUGCUCGGAAUCACUGGGCGUAAAGGGUGCGUAGGCGGGUCUUUAAGUCGAGGGUGAAAUCCUGGAGCUCAACUCCAGAACUGCCUUUGAUACUGAAGAUCUUGAGUUCGGGAGAGGUGAGUGGAACUGCGAGUGUAGAGGUGAAAUUCGUAGAUAUUCGCAAGAACACCAGUGGCGAAGGCGGCUCACUGGACUGGUAUUGACGCUGAGGUGCGAAAGCGUGGGGAGCAAACAGG
rnacentral:rRNA from 1 species